AAUCAACGCUGGCGGCGUGCCUCAGACAUGCAAGUCGAACGCGAAAGUUCCCUUCGGGGAGCUAGUAGAGUGGCGCACGGGUGAGUAACACGUAGGUAAUCUACCUUUGGAUUGGGAAUAACACCGAGAAAUCGGUGCUAAUACCGAAUAAUGCAGCGGCACCUAAUGGUGACAGUUGUUAAAGCGGGGGAUCGAAAGACCUCGCGUCUGAAGAGGAGCCUGCGGCAGAUUAGCUAGUUGGUAAGGUAACGGCUUACCAAGGCGAUGAUCUGUAGCCGGCCUGAGAGGGCGGUCGGCCACACUGACACUGACAUACGGGUCAGACUCCUACGGGAGGCAGCAGUCGGGAAUUUUGGGCAAUGGGCGAAAGCCUGACCCAGCAACGCCGCGUGAAGGAUGAAAUCCCUCGGGAUGUAAACUUCGCAAGAACGGGAAGAAUAAGCCGGUGUUAACACCACCGGUGAUGACGGUACUGUUUGUAAGCUCCGGCUAACUCCGUGCCAGCAGCCGCGGUAAUACGGGGGGAGCAAGCGUUGUUCGGAUUUACUGGGCGUAAAGGGCGCGUAGGCGGCCACCGCAAGUCGAUUGUGAAA
rnacentral:rRNA from 1 species